AGGCGGCACAGGAGAGGCAGUGGCCCCUUUCACAGAGGCAGUGGGAGAGGGGGCUGCAUGGCCCUUGUCCCAGUGCUGCUCCUUCCACAGAGGCUGGACGGGGUGCAACCUGCUGUGCCUCAACCUCCCACAGCCCUGGCCCCAGAUCACCCCCACCCGGCAGGCUUUGAGGGCCAAGGGCCAGCAGCUGUGGUGGCCGGUAGUGGCAGCCUUCCUCUGAUGGGCCCAGUCGCCUCCCGCAGGGGUAGGCCAGAGGCAGCGGCGGCGGCAGGGUGAUAGGGCGGCGCCUUCCCCUGAUCGGCCCUGUUGCCUUCCACAGAGGGAGGCCAGACUGCGGCUUAGGCCCGCUACCCAUGGGAGCAUCAGUAGGACAUCCAGCCAUCAGUAGGACAUACGGUGAGGGCUCUCAAACUGUGAGGGGGCAGGCCGGGCUGAGGGACCACCCCCCUACCCCAGAGCAGGAAUUUUUGUGCAUUGAGCCUCUAGUUCUAAAAUAAAAGUUGCCAGUUUUAAAACAGUAAAGUGAUAAUAUAGAAAUUCAAUAUUGUGGGAAGGAUAAGUUGAUUG